rnacentral:rRNA from 1 species
CCUACGGGAGGCAGCAGUGAGGAAUAUUGGUCAAUGGGCGAGAGCCUGAACCAGCCAAGUCGCGUGAGGGAAGACGGUCCUAUGGAUUGUAAACCUCUUUUGUCGGGGAGCAAAAAGGCCUCGUUAGGCCACAAGUUAGAGUACCCGAAGAAAAAGCAUCGGCUAACUCCGUGCCAGCAGCCGCGGUAAUACGGAGGAUGCGAGCGUUAUCCGGAUUUAUUGGGUUUAAAGGGAGCGUAGGUGGAUUGUUAAGUCAGUUGUGAAAGUUUGCGGCUCAACCGUAAAAUUGCAGUUGAAACUGGCAGUCUUGAGUACAGUAGAGGUGGGCGGAAUUCGUGGUGUAGCGGUGAAAUGCUUAGAUAUCACGAAGAACUCCGAUUGCGAAGGCAGUUCACUGGACUGCAACUGACACUGAGGCUCGAAAGUGUGGGUAUCAAACAGGAUUAGAUACCCCUGUAGUC